AACGAACGCUGGCGGCAGGCCUAACACAUGCAAGUCGAGCGAGGACUUCGGUUCUAGCGGCGGACGGGUGAGUAACGCGUGGGAAUGUGCCCUUCUCUACGGAAUAGCCCUGGGAAACUGGGAGUAAUACCGUAUACGCCCUUUUGGGGAAAGAUUUAUCGGAGAAGGAUCAGCCCGCGUUGGAUUAGGUAGUUGGUGGGGUAAUGGCCUACCAAGCCGACGAUCCAUAGCUGGUAUGAGAGGAUGAUCAGCCACACUGGGACUGAGACACGGCCCAGACUCCUACGGGAGGCAGCAGUGGGGAAUCUUAGACAAUGGGGGCAACCCUGAUCUAGCCAUGCCGCGUGAGUGAUGAAGGCCUUAGGGUUGUAAAGCUCUUUCAGCUGGGAAGAUAAUGACGGUACCAGCAGAAGAAGCCCCGGCUAACUCCGUG
rnacentral:rRNA from 1 species